ncrna:unclassified sequences Actino-pnp RNA
AAUGGUCCUCGGUAGUGGUUUCCGCAAGACGCUUUCGUUCUGCGUGAACUUCGAUCGACGAUUCAU